rnacentral:RNase_P_RNA from 1 species
GCAUGCCGGGUAACGCCCGGCCGCGGCAACGCGAGGGAAAGUGCCGCAGAGAGUAGACCGCCCCCGAUAGGCCGGGGGUAAGGGUGAAAGGGUGCGGUAAGAGCGCACCGCUCCUCCGGAAACGGAGGGGGCACGGUAAACCCCAUGCGGAGCAAGGCCAAAUAGGGGGGCCGAGGGUUGCCUGUCCUCGCAUCCCACCUUUGGUGGGUGAGGUCCCCGGGUUGGCUGCUCGAGCCGCGUGGUAACGCGCGGCCCAGAUGAAUGGACGCCACCCUACGGGGUACAGAAUCCGGCCUAUAGCCUCCUCCAGCCA